GACGAACGCUGGCGGCGUGCUUAACACAUGCAAGUCGAACGGAAAGGCCCUGCUUUUGUGGGGUGCUCGAGUGGCGAACGGGUGAGUAACACGUGAGUAACCUGCCCUUGACUUUGGGAUAACUUCAGGAAACUGGGGCUAAUACCGGAUAGGAGCUCCUGCUGCAUGGUGGGGGUUGGAAAGUUUCGGCGGUUGGGGAUGGACUCGCGGCUUAUCAGCUUGUUGGUGGGGUAGUGGCUUACCAAGGCUUUGACGGGUAGCCGGCCUGAGAGGGUGACCGGCCACAUUGGGACUGAGAUACGGCCCAGACUCCUACGGGAGGCAGCAGUGGGGAAUAUUGCACAAUGGGCGGAAGCCUGAUGCGGCAACGCCGCGUGCGGGAUAACGGCCUUCGGGUUGUAAACCGCUUUCGCCUGUGACGAAGCGUGAGUGACGGUAAUGGGUAAAGAAGCACCGGCUAACUACGUG
rnacentral:rRNA from 1 species